GGGGGGAGCGCCGGAUCUUGGGCUGUGUUCCCGGCGCCCUGUGCCUCUGGGCCUGCGCUGCUGGAAUCACGCUCCAGGCCGCGCAGCUCCCU
rnacentral:pre_miRNA from 1 species